CACGUACUGUGCGAACGUUAUUCGGAAUCACUGGGUUUAAAGGGUCCGCAGGCGGACGUAUAAGUCAGUGGUGAAAGCCUACAGCUCAACUGUAGAACUGCCAUUGAUACUGUACGUCUUGAAUUCGGUCGAAGUGGGCGGAAUAUGACAUGUAGCGGUGAAAUGCUUAGAUAUGUCAUAGAACACCGAUAGCGAAGGCAGCUCACUAGGCCUGGAUUGACGCUCAUGGACGAAAGCGUGGGGAGCAAACAGGAUUAGAUACCCCUGUAGU
rnacentral:rRNA from 1 species